rnacentral:lncRNA from 1 species
AGAUUUCUUCCUGUUUUUGCAAUCUCUUAGAGGAUUGCCUGUCAUAUGCCUCACAUUCUGAUUUAAUGCUAAUUCAAUAAUAAAAUUCCCUUUUUUUUUCUCCUUCCUUUGUGAAUAGAUAUUCUGGACUGGCAGAUUUUAUUUUAAAUUAUAUUUCCCAAACAUUUCUGGCAAUAAGAAUGGGAUAUCUGGAAAUUUCAGAAUCAGCAGACAACUGAAGUUCUGUGGUCACACAGUAAGAUCAGUCUACAUUCUUGUUUACUUUGGCUUAUAAAAGAGUCCAGAGGGGUGGCCAAGAUGGCAGAUUAGAAGCAGCUAGUGUGUGCCACUCUCAGGGAGAGGAACUGAAGAGGCAAGUAAAUACAGCACCUUCAACAGAAACAUUCAGAUACACGCACUGGAAAUAAUCAAGGAAACAACUCGACCCACGGGGAACAGAGAAAAGC